UGGGUCGGGGUUUCGUACGUAGC
rnacentral:piRNA from 4 species